rnacentral:rRNA from 1 species
CAACUUGGAGGAACGUAUAGCUUCGGCUAGUUAUACUUGGCUGUUUAAUUUAUUAUUGAGAUUCAUUUAACUAACUUACCCUGUUAUGUCUCUUGGGCAAUAGGUUAUUCAUUUUGACUUUUUUGUAUAUUAAUUCUUUUUUUAAUAAUUAUAAAACGCAUCCUUUGAUGCACACGUCAGUGAUUUUUGUCAAUUAAUUUGUCGCUGAUCGUAAGAUUUAACUAAUUUAUUAGUUCAGUGAACAGUAUAACAUCGAUUUUAUCGAAUAAAGUUCUAGAUAGUACUAUGAUCAUGACAAUUUACUAUCUAUAUGUCUUGACCAAAUUACGUGCCAGCAGUCGCGGCAAUACGUAGAAGACUAGUGUUAUUCAUCUUUAGUAGGUUUAAAGGGUACCUAGACGGUAUAAUUAGUCUUAAAUAAGAUACGGUUAUACUAGAGUUAUAUUUGAGGAGGUGAGUAUUCAUGGAGUAGAGUUGAAAUUCAUUGAUACCAUGAGGACUGGUAACGGCGAAAGCAAUCUCUUAUCUAUUAACUGACGUUGAGGGACGAAGGCUUGGGUAACGAACAGGAUUAGAUACCCUAGUAGUCCUUGCAGAAAAUUAUAAAUGCCAUAGAUUAGAUUUCUUUUAGUCUAUUAAUGAAAGUGUAAGCAUUUCACCUCAAGAGUAAUGUGGCAACGCAGAAACUGAAAUCAUUAGACCGUUUCUGAAACCA